GGAAUCGUCAAAGCGGUCGAUCCUGCCUAAUUUAACAUGCUCAUCAAUGAUCUUCCAAUUGGGGUUGCCUAUUAUUUCUCUUUCACGGAAAGUGUAUAAUCUGAAGCUAUCAUUUGCAAGAAUUGACCAGUUCGACGAGUUCGGCAAGUUUGACCAAACAUGAAGCAGGCAAUGCAUGAAAUUCGGCAGAAGUAAGCUCGAAAUGAACGACAACUGGCUUGUGCAGACCGCUAUUUUGAGAUGCAAUAUAAGAUCACGACGUAAGUGUAACAUUAAAUGACAAAAUUGUAUCCUGACUUCCUCAAGGGAGAUUAUUAUACAUUUAAUUUGCAAC
rnacentral:lncRNA from 1 species